rnacentral:lncRNA from 1 species
AGAAAGAAGCCUUUCCGCCUUCCUACUCUGUAACCCUGCUUUUCGUUUCCUGUGUGUCCUUUCAGAGCUCCUUUUGCUUUCAAAAGCAAAUACAAAUACGGGCAGCUUCUGAAUGGAUGGCCAAGUGACUCUGGAGCUUCCGCGCUGUGUGAGGGCUGGGCUUUCUGUCCCUGUUCACCCUCGAACCCAGGCUUCAGCCACCGCACGGGAGAAGAUGGUUCAGACCACACCUCUACCCUGACUCAGCACACACAGCUGUACCGUCAGGGGCUGCAAACCAACAUCUCUCAGGGCCUUCCUGGAAGCUGCGGCUGGACUCCCCUUGUACUCCAGGGGAGCAUCCCUGGAGGCCCAGGUCGGGGCUCCUGGAGGGUCCCUGGGUUCUGGGGGACAGAAGAACAGGGAGGAAGAAUCCAGAUGUGGCUCACUGGGCUCUGUGGAUCUGGCACUGGAACAGCUGUCCAGGCUUUGGGGCCCCCGACACCCCUGCUGCUCUCCCUCAGGCCCCAGAUCUGCUUGGGCCCCCAGUGGGCAACCGCUCGGUGCUGGCCCACCACAGGGAAAUAUUCCGGUGGAGGGGGAUCUGAGACUGCCUUGGCCAAUAGAAUGCAGCCAAUGUGGUGCUAUGCGUCUGCCUGGCCUCGGCCUUGAGAGACCUGGGAGCUUCCAUUUAUGUCAUCUUGGAGUGCUGAGUUACCUUAAAGAAGUCUAAAACUCAG